UUCAGAUAACAUUUUAUUUGCUUUUUUGUUUCAUCAAAAUGGUAUGCCAAUAUCACUUUUUUUCUACAGCCCAAUAAUCUACAAUAUCAGAAAGAACCCAAUAAAAAAAAAUCAAAUGGAGCAAGUUAUGAGCUAUACAGUACAAAUUUCAAAUUAGAUGCUGUCUAAAGUGCAAAACUACUGCAUUGAUGAUGAGUUAGAGAAGGAAAUUAAAAUACUCUAUUUUAGACCAACAGUAUACAUAUACAUAUAUAUGUAUAUAUGUCACGGUAUAUACAUAUAUAUUUUUUUUAUAUAU